rnacentral:rRNA from 1 species
GAUGAACGCUAGCGGCAGGCCUAACACAUGCAAGUCGAGGGGCAGCACAGAAACAGCAAUGUUUUGGUGGCGACCGGCGGACGGGUGCGUAACGCGUAUGCAACCUACCUUUAACAGGGGGAUAACGGAGAGAAAUUUCCACUAAUACCCCAUAACAUCGAUCAAGGCAUCUUGAUUGGUUGAAAACUCCGGUGGUUAAAGAUGGGCAUGCGUUGUAUUAGGUAGUUGGUGAGGUAAUGGCUCACCAAGCCUACGAUACAUAGGGGGACUGAGAGGUUAGCCCCCCAAACUGGUACUGAGACACGGACCAGACUCCUACGGGAGGCAGCAGUGAGGAAUAUUGGUCAAUGGGGGCAACCCUGAACCAGCCAUGCCGCGUGCAGGAAGACGGCUCUAUGAGGUGUAAACUGCUUUUAAACAGGGAUAAAGCACAGUAUGUAUACUGUGUUGAGGGUACUGUAAGAAUAAGGAUCGGCUAACUCCGUGCCAGCCGCCGCCGUAA